AAAUUGAAGAGUUUGAUCAUGGCUCAGAUUGAACGCUGGCGGCAGGCCUAACACAUGCAAGUCGAACGGUAACAGGAAGCAGCUUGCUGCUUUGCUGACGAGUGGCGGACGGGUGAGUAAUGUCUGGGAAACUGCCUGAUGGAGGGGGAUAACUACUGGAAACGGUGGCUAAUACCGCAUAACGUCGCAAGACCAAAGAGGGGGACCUUCGGGCCUCUUGCCAUCAGAUGUGCCCAGAUGGGAUUAGCUAGUUGGUGAGGUAACGGCUCACCAAGGCGACGAUCCCUAGCUGGUCUGAGAGGAUGACCAGCCACACUGGAACUGAGACACGGUCCAGACUCCUACGGGAGGCAGCAGUGGGGAAUAUUGCACAAUGGGCGCAAGCCUGAUGCAGCCAUGCCGCGUGUAUGAAGAAGGCCUUCGGGUUGUAAAAGUACUUUCAGCGGGGAGGAAGGUGUUGUGGUUAAUAACCGCAGCAAUUGACGUUACCCGCAGAAGAAGCACCGGCUAACUCCGUGCCAGCAGCCGCGGUAAUACGGAGGGUGCAAGCGUUAAUCGGAAUUACUGGGCGUAAAGCGCACGCAGGCGGUCUGUCAAGUCGGAUGUGAAAUCCCCGGGCUCAACCUGGGAACUGCAUUCGAAACUGGCAGGCUUGAGUCUUGUAGAGGGGGGUAGAAUUCCAGGUGUAGCGGUGAAAUGCGUAGAGAUCUGGAGGAAUACCGGUGGCGAAGGCGGCCCCCUGGACAAAGACUGACGCUCAGGUGCGAAAGCGUGGGGAGCAAACAGGAUUAGAUACCCUGGUAGUCCACGCCGUAAACGAUGUCUACUUGGAGGUUGUGCCCUUGAGGCGUGGCUUCCGGAGCUAACGCGUUAAGUAGACCGCCUGGGGAGUACGGCCGCAAGGUUAAAACUCAAAUGAAUUGACGGGGGCCCGCACAAGCGGUGGAGCAUGUGGUUUAAUUCGAUGCAACGCGAAGAACCUUACCUGGUCUUGACAUCCACGGAAGUUUUCAGAGAUGAGAAUGUGCCUUCGGGAACCGUGAGACAGGUGCUGCAUGGCUGUCGUCAGCUCGUGUUGUGAAAUGUUGGGUUAAGUCCCGCAACGAGCGCAACCCUUAUCCUUUGUUGCCAGCGAUUAGGUCGGGAACUCAAAGGAGACUGCCAGUGAUAAACUGGAGGAAGGUGGGGAUGACGUCAAGUCAUCAUGGCCCUUACGACCAGGGCUACACACGUGCUACAAUGGCGCAUACAAAGAGAAGCGACCUCGCGAGAGCAAGCGGACCUCAUAAAGUGCGUCGUAGUCCGGAUUGGAGUCUGCAACUCGACUCCAUGAAGUCGGAAUCGCUAGUAAUCGUGGAUCAGAAUGCCACGGUGAAUACGUUCCCGGGCCUUGUACACACCGCCCGUCACACCAUGGGAGUGGGUUGCAAAAGAAGUAGGUAGCUUAACCUUCGGGAGGGCGCUUACCACUUUGUGAUUCAUGACUGGGGUGAAGUCGUAACAAGGUAACCGUAGGGGAACCUGCGGUUGGAUCACCUCCUUACCUUAAAGAAGC
rnacentral:rRNA from 1 species